GAUGAAUUUGGAUGAUUAUCAAAUGGGAGCAAAGGAUUUCUUCCAUGUGAUGAGUCAUCAUACAGACAGAAUCACUUGUAUGAGGUGACAUUUGGUUUAACCCCGUUGCGACCUUUAAAGCAUAGCAAGCAAUAACCCUUGAAGGCAAGGAUGAAGGAACACUCAAUAUAACUUGAACCAAUAUUGUGAUGCGCCUUGCAUAAGUGUGUCCAAGAAGGAAAAAAAAUGUCAAAGGAAAACAGAGCUUUCAAGAAGCAAGCACAAGUA
rnacentral:lncRNA from 1 species